CAUUGUUUAUGUUUUACUGUCUUCUCUCACUCUCUCUUUCUUUGAAUAACCAGGAUCAAAAGUCAACGGUUUAAAGUCAACUCUAUUCAAAUUGUGAGUGUUUUUUAACUUUUAGGUGGUCAAGAACUGUUACUUGCCUUUUGGUUUUGAGUUUAUGGACCAAGAUAAGCAGAUACCCGAAGACUGCGAUACAUUUCUUAGGCGAAAAUGGUUAGUGGUUAAUCACGUAUUAACCACAAUUAAAGGCUUAAGAAGCAUAUUGUAGCAAAGAAAGACUGUCAACCCAAGAAGAUAAUAAUAAUGACAUUGAUUGUAACGUUGAUGUUGAUGAAAAUAGAGGAUGGCUUUGGAUUACAACCAGUUGCAAUUAUUCGAGCAUUUUCUCAAAUUUAAUUUUGUUUUUGAUACAUUUUUUCCAAUUAGUUAAUCAUCCUUUAAUUUUCUUAAUCAUGGCCGACACUGAUACAACAAUGGAAGAUCUUGAAUGAAAAGAGGUUAAAUGAUGAUAUUAUUGGACGAACGCGCUUGUUAAACAAGGAAAUUAUGAGGAGCCAAGUUAUGAAGAUUGCCAUGAACUCCAAUCACCAAUGGAAUUAUAUGGUUUCCAGAGCCAUUACUUUCGGAUUCCGAAUAGCAACAGGAAGAGGACGGGAGAGGCGUUGAGCUAGACUUACAGCACAAAAGCACUGCUGGGAUAAAAAUAUCAACAAAACAGACGCAUAUUCUCUCUGUCGUUUGGUUGAACCUGAAUAUUUGAAACCUGGAGAUUUAAUUGGAAUGGACGAAGAUUCUUACUUUAUUUUAUAGGCUUUAUGACCCUUCUAAAACAUUGAUGGACCGUGCUUGUGCUCUGAGAACAAAACGCUUCUUCAAAAUUAAAGGAUCCAAGAUUCAGUUGCGCUUUGGUGGAAGAGUCCAGCUUGUUCGAGAUUCUGACGCUUCACAACAUCUUGUUAGUAAAAGAAGGACAUCCAGCUAUUGUUUUCAUUAUAAGCUUGACGCCAUCGGUACUAAAAGAUUGACAGUGAAAAAGCGUAAAGUUCAUAUUGAACAUUUUGUUAUAAACUUGAUUUUCAAUGAAAAAAUGGACAAAAAUGCUAAUCCAAUCUAAAUAAGGGUUAAAGAGAGAAAUAUUGAAAAGGAUUGAUCGUAAAGCCGAUGAAUCAGACUGAUAUUUGAUAAUGAUAAAUAUCCAUUGAAUUGGUGCAUGUGAUGGAGAUCAGAUGAAAUGUCAAAACGGCAAUCAUUCGGUGUUCAUUUUAAGUUAACAAUAGGUUUAAACGUAUUCUUUUUAUUCUCCAUCUUCUAAUAUUUCUCUUUUUUUUCUCUUCUCAUUCUUUUCUUUUGCAGGCUCCAACCAGUAUUGAAAAGGACAAAGCCAUAUGACAUUUCUUACAAUAAUAAUAAUCAUAACCAUAACAAUAAUAAUCAAUCGUGAAUCAAUUACGCUUCACUAAUUUGCAAAUCAUGUUGGCUUUAUGGUUAAACAUUAUUUUGCUCAAUUUUACCUGUUGAACUAACCAAACACAAAUGAAAAUUUAGGCCAAUGUCAUUUGAAGCAGGAUUCACCUCUUGAUUAAACAGCAACUGGAAUCGAUUCUUGUCCAAGCCGGAGUUAGUUAUGGAUGCAAAUUCAAAGGAAACUUCCAAGUCCUUCAAGUGUACAUCAAGUUGGGCCGAUUUUGGUAUUAUUGUCGUUGUGCCAUUGUCGCUGUUACAAACGAAAGAAGUAGAAAAUUAGUUUAAUUGUUGAAAAUCAAUUUAUCACAAGAUGACGAUAAUGAUGCUUAUGUUAAUAUUAAUACAUCAAGAAUCAAAAUAUAUAAAGGCAAAGGGAAAACGGCGAUUGUAAAGCACUUUUUACCCCAUUCCAUCCUCCUUCUUAAGUUAAAUCUUUUUUUCACUUCCAAGAUAGUCAAAAGUCUUUUCAUCUUCCUUUCGUCAAGUUUGACAAAGCAAAAUGUCAAUAGUCACAAUUGAUAUUAGAAAGAAAUCACAACAUAAACGUUAUUACUAGCAAUACGCAGACACAAACACACAGAAAGACGCAAAGACCUUGCCUAACUUACGAUGCCAACCCUCUAACCUAAACCCUCCUCCUAUCAAUGAAAUUGUAUCAGGACAAUAAUGAGGAAGAUGAAAAUGAUGUUGAUUAGGUAGACACAAAUGAACAUAAAAGUGAGGUGGUUAUGUUGCGGUGAGAAAUGCAGUCAAAGCACAGUGACAACAACACAACAAAAAAAAACGGUCUUGACUGUUUUUCAGCCUUUAUGAUUAUGGUUAUAUUAUUAUGGCCAUUAUUAUUUAGACUGUAUUAAAGAGAAGAAUGGAAAGAGAGAUAAGUCCUGAAUACGGAUAGACUUUUUCCACUCAGGGAGUUUCAAUCCCAAAAUAAUACAGUUCAAACUGUAUACAAGUUAAAUGGAAGCAAAAGAAGAAGAAGAAUAAAAGUAAAAUAUAUUUAAAUAUAUUAUACGCCAAUAAGACUUUAAAAGAGACCAAUUUUCUGAAUCAAUGGAGACGUAACCUUUAUCUACACCUACCUCUGCGCUCUUUGGUUUUAGCCUCGCUCUUUUUGUUAUAGUCAUGUGUGUGGCUAUGCGUCCUUUAGUUAUUGCCUUGCAACUUGUAUUACUUUUUUGAUCCCCUUUUGUUUGGACAACUUUUCACAAAUCACUUUUACCGAUUGAACCAUAGUAAAUUUUAGCCGGUAAUACCUUUUGCCUUUUUCAAUCCAUACUUGUCCCAGUCAACACCAUAACCAUCGUCAUCAUCAUUACCAUCAACAGUGUAAUCAUGAUGAACAAGACAAUCCUAUAAAGCGUCUCAAGUGAGUCUCACUCAACAACAUUGCUCUUGAUUUGAAAUGGCCAAUGACCACCCCUGACCUUCUCUCUCUCUCUCUCUCUCUCUCUCUCUCUCUCUAUUGACCCUAAUCUUGCUCAAAUAGUAUGCUCAUUGAGCUACCUAGAGACAUGAAAAAGGCAAGAAGACAAGAAACAAACAUCUUUUGUUCCAUCCUCUAAACCUGACCAUUGAAAGAUAAUCAUCUCCUAUUUGUUCAUUUACCAAUUGAAAUUUUACUCAUUACCGUUUUGUCCACUGGCUUACACAAACAUGACAAUUAACUAAGGAUAUAAAGUUAAUCGUCUUUUUUUGUUGCUCAGCUACAAUUUAAUAUCCUCUCAAUCAUUACAGAAUCACAGAAGAUUUAUCCAGAUUAAUAUCCAAGCGACAAUCAAGAUAGUUAGACCACAAUAAAUCCAUGAACUUCAUAAUCAAUGCAAAUUUUCAAACCUUUUACAUUAUUAAAUAUUUCUUUCAACCUCUUCUACUUUUAGAAACGUAAUGGCAACAUUAAUAACAAUAAAUGUUUUAAAAGACUUUUUUUUCUCUCCUUUUAUUGUGGUCUAAUAUUUUUGACCACAUCACCAGCCCCAGUGACAUGGGACAACAAAACGACAGCAAAAAGGUGACAUAUCAAAUGACCAUUGUACACAACAAAACAAAUUGUCAAGCCAACAACAAAAAAUGAAUGGUAACCAUUUUAACUGAAAGACAGGAAUCCAAGAAAAUGUUGAAAUGAAAUAAUGUGAUUGGAGCAAAUAAUAAUCAAUAUAAAAAUAUUUGUCUUGACCCAUGACCUCAACCACUAAACCCGUUAACAAAGGUCCAAAUCAAAACUUUGAAGCCAUUUCAACCCUGCCAAUACUUUUGUCUACCUUUACCAUACAUAAUUUGAUAUCUGUUAAUGGACUAUCCAACUUUAAGAGUUUAAUUCACUCUCUAACAAUUGAACAAUUUGUUAACUGUUAACACCUUUACCGUUCAAUAAAUAUCAAUAAAAUUGUCAUUGAAAUCACAACCACUUGUAAGA